rnacentral:rRNA from 1 species
UACGGAGGGUGCGAGCGUUGUUCGGAAUCACUGGGCGUAAAGGGCGUGUAGGCGGUCCGCUAAGUCUGAUGUGAAAGCCCGGGGCUCACCCCCGGAAGUGCAUUGGAAACUGGCGGACUCGAGUCCCGGAGAGGAGAGUGGAAUUCCCGGUGUAGAGGUGAAAUUCGUAGAUAUCGGGAGGAACACCGGUGGCGAAGGCGGCGACCUGGGUAGAUACUGACGCUGAGGUGCGAAAGCGUGGGGAGCAAACAGG